rnacentral:lncRNA from 1 species
CGGGACGGGAGCCUGCUCAGGGGUAAGGUUGCUUCUUCCCUUCUUCUUGUCACAGUGCCCCUGGAAAGGGUCAGAUUUCAGAGAAUCCGAGCAAGGCAGAACUGGAGCAGGGGAAGUGAGGUCAGAAAACAGGUUUCCCAUGAGCUGGGGCAUGAGCAAGUGAAGAGAAAGGGAGCCACGGGGUAACCUGUGCGCGAGUGACAGCGGCGGGAGCCCGCAGGGCCUGACAGUUGCGAUGGGCACGGGGAGACAGGGCGAGAGGCGGGCACAGAAUGUCAGCGGGGCAGACCCCCGGGAAAGGCAGCAACCCGGAAGACGCGCCGAUCCUCCUCCCAGCCCCUAUGGGUGACCGAGCCCCCACCAGCCGCCCCGGGAAGCCAGGCGUCCCUCCCUCCAGCCGCAGCUCCCUCCGGCCCGGCUCCACUCACCCCCGUGCUACCUUGCAGCAUUAAGAUGGAUUUGACUAGAAAAGAUGAGAAGGGC